rnacentral:rRNA from 1 species
UGAGUUUGAUCCUGGCUCAGAACGAACGCUGGCGGCGUGCUUAACACAUGCAAAGUCGAACGCGAAAGGGACUUCGGUCCCGAGUAGAGUGGCGCACGGGUGAGUAACGCGUAAGUAAUCUACCCCUGUAUCUGGAAUAACCCACCGAAAGGUGAGCUAAUACCGGAUACGUUUAUCCUGAUGCGAAUGAUGAUAAAGAAAGGUGGCCUCUUCAUGAAAGCUACCGUACAGGGACGAGCUUGCGUACCAUUAGCUGGUUGGUAGGGUAAUGGCCUACCAAGGCGACGAUGGUUAGCGGGUCUGAGAGGAUGAUCCGCCACACUGGAACUGAAACACGGACCAGACUCCUACGGGAGGCAGCAGUGAGGAAUAUUGCGCAAUGGGGGCAACCCUGACGCAGCGACGCCGCGUGGACGAUGAAGGCCCUUGGGUCGUAAAAUCCUGUCAGAUGGAAAGAAAUGUACAGGUGUUAAUAUCGCCUGUAUUUGACGGUACCAUCAAAGGAAGCACCGGCUAACUCCGUGCCAGCAGCCGCGGUAAUACGGAGGGUGCGAGCGUUGUUCGGAAUUACUGGGCGUAAAGCGCGCGUAGGCGGUUUGCUAAGUCAGAUGUGAAAGCCCUCGGCUUACCCGGGGACGUGCAUUUGAAACU